AUUGAACGCUGGCGGCAUGCUUUACACAUGCAAGUCGAACGGCAGCGCGGGCUUCGUCCUGGCGGCGAGUGGCGAACGGGUGAGUAAUACAUCGGAACGUGCCCAGUAGUGGGGGAUAGCUCGGCGAAAGCAGGAUUAAUACCGCAUACGACCUGAGGGUGAAAGCGGGAGAUCUUCGGACCUCGCGCUAUUGGAGCGGCCGAUGGCAGAUUAGCUAGUUGGUGGGGUAAAGGCCUACCAAGGCGACGAUCUGUAGCUGGUCUGAGAGGACGACCAGCCACACUGGGACUGAGACACGGCCCAGACUCCUACGGGAGGCAGCAGUGGGGAAUUUUGGACAAUGGGCGAAAGCCUGAUCCAGCAAUGCCGCGUGCGUGAUGAAGGCCUUCGGGUUGUAAAGCACUUUUGGCGGGAACGAAAGGGACUGUGCCAAUACCACGGUUCGAUGACGGUACCCGCAGAAUAAGCACCGGCUAACUACGUG
rnacentral:rRNA from 1 species